rnacentral:lncRNA from 1 species
GGCUAACACUGAACCCUGGAGCCAGAGUUCAGGCCCCAGCACGCGGUGUGGGUGUCCUCGGUGGGUGGUCGACAUUUAGGACCUGCAGACCAGCUGGUUCCAGACCCAGGUGCCCCGUGACAACUCGUGAGCAUGGAGUGUCGCUGGCGGCUGGACACUGGCAGAUCAUGGCUGCAAUGGUGAAGAUUCGAUGCCCUGAUGGUCCUCUGAUGCUGGGUCUGUGCACUGAGCCAGGGCCUGCAGGAAUCACAGCCAGCCCUGUGAAUCCAGCUGGGGCGUGUCAGGAAUCGGCCUCACCACUCACCAUCAUCACGGUCACCUGCCGUCUCCCUGCCGGCGUCCUGGGCCUGGAGGACGAGGAGGGGCGCUGGCUGUCACCACGCCGUCCCUCAGGGUGGCUGAGAGGCGGGCCAUCAGUUGGAGGAAGUCAUUCCUGCUCGGCACACCGAGGAAGUCGAAAGCAUCCCACCGUGCUUAUGGUACAAAGGACACAACAGUGAGGGCGGCUUCGGUGGAGGAAAUGAGACAAAAAUUACCAGGUUUGCAGGAAGGCUUAUCCUCCUCCCAUGCUUUCUAGAGCACCACGUCCUGCCUGAUGCUGGCACACACCUGACAGAGCCUGUGGGCACUGUCAUCAGCUGAAGCAGGGUUUCGUGCAUGCUCAUGAAAACCAGGCUGUGUGGACAGGUGUCUCAGGGAACCAUUUAGUAACCUAAAACCUCACUGACCUCAAUAGUGUUGUGCAGAUGGGAUGAUUUACCUCUUGCUGGAUAAAAGGAUACAAAUAAUUAUUUCUGACUCUUAGUUUAUUUUCUUCUUUUGGUACCAGGGAUCGAACUCGGGUCCUUGAGCUUGUGCAGCAGGCAGCAAAACCACUGAGCUAA